GACGAACGCUGGCGGCGUGCUUAACACAUGCAAGUCGAACGGAAAGGCCCUGCUUUUGUGGGGUGCUCGAGUGGCGAACGGGUGAGUAACACGUGAGUAACCUGCCCUUGACUUUGGGAUAACUUCAGGAAACUGGGGCUAAUACCGGAUAGGAGCUCCUGCUGCAUGGUGGGGGUUGGAAAGUUUCGGCGGUUGGGGAUGGACUCGCGGCUUAUCAGCUUGUUGGUGGGGUAGUGGCUUACCAAGGCUUUGACGGGUAGCCGGCCUGAGAGGGUGACCGGCCACAUUGGGACUGAGAUACGGCCCAGACUCCUACGGGAGGCAGCAGUGGGGAAUAUUGCACAAUGGGCGGAAGCCUGAUGCAGCAACGCCGCGUGCGGGAUGACGGCCUUCGGGUUGUAAACCGCUUUCGCCUGUGACGAGGCGUGAGUGACGGUAAUGGGUAAAGAAGCACCGGCUAACUACGUGCCAGCAGCCGCGGUGAUACGUAGGGUGCGAGCGUUGUCCGGAUUUAUUGGGCGUAAAGGGCUCGUAGGUGGUUGAUCGCGUCGGAAGUGUAAUCUUGGGGCUUAACCCUGAGCGUGCUUUCGAUACGGGUUGACUUGAGGAAGGUAGGGGAGAAUGGAAUUCCUGGUGGAGCGGUGGAAUGCGCAGAUAUCAGGAGGAACACCAGUGGCGAAGGCGGUUCUCUGGGCCCUUCCUGACGCUGAGGAGCGAAAGCGUGGGGAGCGAACAGGCUUAGAUACCCUGGUAGUCCACGCUGUAAACGGUGGGUACUAGGUGUGGGGUCCAUUCCACGGGUUCCGUGCCGUAGCUAACGCUUUAAGUACCCCGCCUGGGGAGUACGGCCGCAAGGCUAAAACUCAAAGGAAUUGACGGGGCCCCGCACAAGCGGCGGAGCAUGCGGAUUAAUUCGAUGCAACGCGUAGAACCUUACCUGGGUUUGACAUGGAUCGGGAGCGCUCAGAGAUGGGUGUGCCUCUUUUGGGGUCGGUUCACAGGUGGUGCAUGGCUGUCGUCAGCUCGUGUCGUGAGAUGUUGGGUUAAGUCCCGCAACGAGCGCAACCCUUGUUCACUGUUGCCAGCACGUUAUGGUGGGGACUCAGUGGAGACCGCCGGGGUCAACUCGGAGGAAGGUGGGGAUGACGUCAAGUCAUCAUGCCCCUUAUGUCCAGGGCUUCACGCAUGCUACAAUGGCUGGUACAGAGAGUGGCGAGCCUGUGAGGGUGAGCGAAUCUCGGAAAGCCGGUCUCAGUUCGGAUUGGGGUCUGCAACUCGACCUCAUGAAGUCGGAGUCGCUAGUAAUCGCAGAUCAGCAACGCUGCGGUGAAUACGUUCCCGGGGCU
rnacentral:rRNA from 1 species